rnacentral:rRNA from 1 species
AACGAACGCUAGCGGGAUGCCUCAAACAUGCAAGUCGUACGCGAAAGUCCCUUCGGGGGCGAGUAGAGUGGCGCACGGGUGCGUAACACGUAGCUAACGUACCCCUUCGCUGGGAUAACUCCGGGAAACCGGAGCUAAUACCGAAUGAUCUAGCAAAGUCUGCGGACUUUGUUGGUAAAGCCCUCGGGCGCGAAGGGAUCGGGCUGCGGCCCAUUAGCUUGAUGGUGGGGUAACGGCCUACCAUGGCGACGAUGGGUAGCUGGUCUGAGAGGAUGAUCAGCCACACUGGAACUGGAACACGGUCCAGACUCACACGGGAGGCAGCAGUUGGGAAUAUUGGUCAAUGGGGGCAACCCUGAACCAGCAAUCCCGCGUGAGUGAUGAAGGCCCUCGGGUCGUAAAGCUCUUUCAGCAGGGAAGAAGGGUAACUUGACGGUACCUGCAGAAGAAGCACCGGCUAACUCCGUGCCAGCAGCCGCGGUAAUACGGAGGGUGCGAGCGUUGUUCGGAAUCAUUGGGCGUAAAGCGCGUGUAGGCGGCUCAUUAAGUCUGAUGUGAAAGCCCGGGGCUCAACCCCGGAAGUGCAUUGGAUACUGGUGAGCUAGAGGACGAGAGAGGGAAGUGGAAUUCCUGGUGUAGGGGUGAAAUCCGUAGAUAUCAGGAGGAACAUCAGUGGCGAAGGCGGCUUCCUGGCUCGUUUCUGACGCUAAGACGCGAAAGCGUGGGUAGCAAACAGGAUUAGAUACCCUGGUAGUCCACGCCCUAAACGAUGGAUACUAGUCGUCGGGAUUCCUAAUAGUCUCGGUGACGUAG